AACAAAGAAGUAAAAAAAUUUACAUUUAGUUUCGACCUAAAAUUUAAGGAUUAUACCUCAUGUUU
rnacentral:tRNA from 1 species